CAUCUCAUUCUCCUCUCAUUUUCUUGGUUUUCUUCUCCGAGUCUCUGGCAUUUUUUGGUCUCUCUAAUAUCAUCACCUCCGAUUUUCAAAUCUGUAGGUCAUUCUUUAUUGUAAAUCAGAUAUUGACGUUGAUUUGUGGCCUUUGGUUUGUUGUAAUCUCAGGCUUGCGUUGUGGCCUGUGUAUAGUGUUCAUGACAGGAAGUUUAGAGGCUUCUUUAGGUUGGUUUUGAGCUGUAAAGAACUAUUCUACACUUGUGUCGGUUAGGUGGUGUGAUUGUGAGACCUGUUAUAGAUCGAUGAUCUACUAAUUAGGUCAGUGAUCUGAUUGUUGUACUCUAAACUUAAUCUCUCUUUUGAGAGGUUCUUAAAUAUAGUGAUGGGUUCUUACGUCUGAGUCCCCCGAGUAGGCUUUGUCAAAUUGGUUGAGCAUUUCUUGUGUUGAUUAUUACUGUUUUCGUGGGUCUAUGUUUCAAUUUUCUGAAUAUUGCUUCGGUUGGGUGGCAAAAUCCCAAUAAACUGGUAUCGGAGUCUGGUGAGGCGUGGGUACCUAGGGCAAUGAUAUACGGUAAAAUACUGUCAAGCGCAAUGUAGCAACUAGAGAGAGCGAGGGGUUUGAGAAAACAAGACCGUUGAUCUGAUCUAACGGUGGAGGCUUAAAUGAAAAUGGUCUUGACCCUUGGGUUUGGCUAUAAACAGUUUGAAGGGGUUCAUUUCAUUUUCUUGGUUUUCUUUUCUGAGUUUCUGGCAUUUUUGGUCUCUCUAAUAUCAUCACCUCUGAUUUUCAGAUCCGUGGUUCGUUCUUUGUUGUAAAUCAAAUCUUUGCCUUGAUUUGUGGCCUUUGGUCUGUUGUAAUCCCAGGCUUGUGUAUAGUGUUCGUGACAGGAAGUUUUGAGGCCUUUUUUGGGUUGGUUUUGAACUGUAAAAAACUAUUCUACACUUGCGUCUUGGUCUUAUGUCGGUUAGAUAGUGUUAUUGUGAGAUUUGUUGUAGAUUGAUGAUCUAUUUAUUGAGUCAAUAAUCUGAUUGUUGUUCUCUAAUCUUAAAACUCUUGGGAGAAUCUUGCACAUAGUGAUGGACUCUUACCUUUGAGCCUCUCGAGUAGUCGAACUAGAUGACCAAUUUCUUUUUGUUGAUUAUUUA